rnacentral:rRNA from 1 species
UACGAAGGGGGCUAGCGUUGCUCGGAAUCACUGGGCGUAAAGCGCACGUAGGCGGAUUCCUAAGUCGGGGGUGAAAUCCUGGAGCUCAACUCCAGAACUGCCUUUGAUACUGAGAAGCUCGAGUCCGGGAGAGGUGAGUGGAACUGUGAGUGUAGAGGUGAAAUUCGUAGAUAUUCGCAAGAACACCAGUGGCGAAGGCGGCUCACUGGCCCGGUACUGACGCUGAGGUGCGAAAGCGUGGGGAGCAAACAGGG